UUUCUGGUAGAAUUCAAGAGGCACAUUGAACAAAUGAUUCAAACUAUCAAUCGUGCUCCAAUUUACUCAGAAAUAUAUCAUUGGAAAUAUAUUUCAAUCUACUUCCAGAUAAAACAAGCUUCAUAUGAAUUGAAUUGUCCAACAGAGAGAGUUACAAAUAAUUUGGUAAACAAGGGUCUCAGAACAAAAUCUCUGUUUGGCAGAAUUCAUAAUGUCAGAUUCAAUAGAUAACUGGGCAGGUGUUUGGAUUCCAAAUCUUUCAAUCCAUAUAUCAAAAGAAAGAUCUACGAGUCUAGUUUCCAAUGAAAUCAGUUUUGAACAAAUCAGAGUUUCCAACAAAGACUUAUAGGCAGCUCGGUAUCAAAAGGUCAGAAUCUCAGAAGUUGCACAGAUUCGAAUCGUUACAUCUAAACAGGAGAUAUAUCUAAUGCAAGGCUAGAACAAUUUAAAGUUCCUCAUAUUCAAAGCAAAUGUAGAGAUAAAAUUGCAAUAAGGUAAGAUCAGGACACUUGCAAUAGGAAAGAUUAGAAAGCUUACAAUAGGAAGGAUCGAAACAC
rnacentral:lncRNA from 1 species